AAAUAUUUUUAAAUCUGCUACAUAAAAUAAAUAAAUGUUUUCUAGAUCUGAUAGCAAUAUAUGUGGGAUCACACUCUCUAUUUUGUGAAACAAUUCGAUUAAAUAUUUCAAUUUUAAAGGUGUCAUUUGCUUGUCAAUGUUUUUUAUUAUAUAGACUUUAGAAGCCUAUUCAUCAAGUACCAGUGGUAAAGCUACAUGUAUCAUUUGACUAGUCUAUAUUCCAUAAGUUAGGCAGAGUUUGUAGUCUUCAAUGGCAUUGACAUCUGGUAGAAAAGCUAAGGUUCUUUUAGUACAGUGGUAAAGUUACUUGUCUCUCAAUACGAGUUUAUAUUCCAUAAAUCUGUAAGGUGUCAUUUUUUUUUUUUUAAUGUGAGUUAUGCUAUUUUUGGAAAAGUAAUAUAUUUUUUUUGUAUAAAAUGCU